UACAGAGGGUGCAAGCGUUAAUCGGAAUUACUGGGCGUAAAGGGCGCGUAGGCGGAUGAUUAAGUUCUAUGUGAAAUGCCUGGGCUUAACCUGGGAAUGGCAUAGAAUACUGGUUAUCUUGAGUAGAGUAGAGGGAAGUGGAAUUUCCGGUGUAGCGGUGAAAUGCGUAGAUAUCGGAAGGAACACCAGUGGCGAAGGCGGCUUCCUGGACUCAUACUGACGCUGAGGCGCGAGAGCGUGGGUAGCAAACAGGAUUAGAUACCCUGGUAGUCCACGCUGUAAACGAUGAGAACUAGCUGUUGGAGUGGUAAGACACUUUAGUAGCGCAGCUAACGCGAUAAGUUCUCCGCCUGGGGAGUACGGCCGCAAGGUUAAA
rnacentral:rRNA from 1 species